GAAGGUCUUGAAUUCAAUUUAUGCAUUACUUUGUGAGCUUAAUUUAAUUAUUUUUGUUUUAAUUAGUGUAAUGUAUUUCAUAUUUCCUUCCCCCUUGUUCUUCUUCUUCUCGUCUUAAGUUCUUGUAUAUGUAUAUGUAUUAAAGUACUGUCUUUUACCAAUUAUAAAUAGUCUUGUAUUUUAUAUAUUUAUUAGAGUAGGGUUUUUGUAAUAGAAAGUAUACAGAUGUUCCUUUAAUAAGUAUUGUUUUACUCCUCCUCGCCAAUUUCUUGUCCUCAUCUCUCUCGGUCAUCCUGGAUAUCUCCUCCUUAUAAAGAGUCUCCUUCUCCUCACCUUCGUCAAGACGCAACAUUGGCGACGAGGAUGGGAUCAGGAUCACGUGACCUUUGGGAUCGUUGGCGAAGCUAGCCCUGCUGGAGUUGGGUAGCCCCUUUUCGUCGACAGGGAGAACGCUCGUUAGUCUACGGAAGGCGGAACAAUACGGGCUGUGCCUCAGUUUGGGCCUCGUGGAGGAAGGAACAGAUCCUUGGUCACUUACAAGAAGUGAAGGUGUGUCCGUGUCAGGGACCACAUCAUUAAAAGUGGAUUUAAUCCUAUGAAGUUUUGGAUCUUUCUUGUUCCUACUCUCCUGUUCACAUCAUUGGAUAGUGAAUGUGCUAUGGUCUCUCCACUGGAUCAUCCCGAGUUGGAUGAGGGUACAUCGAGCAAGAUCGAUAUGUCUCCCUGGGACGAGCAGGGUGCUCGUGUCCCUAAAACCUCUAUAAGGGUGAUCGAUAGGUCUCCGAGGGACGAGCAGUGUGAUCGUGUCCCUUAAACCUCAAUAACGGUGAUCGAUAUGUCUCCCAGGGACGAGCAGGGUGCUCGUGUCCCUAAAACCUGUAUAAGGAGAAGUGUUCUGCUUUCUCCGGUGCGCGUGCAGAGAGCACGGCACGUCUAUAUGGAGAUAAAAAUUUUAUAUACAAGAGCGAAUGGUUUGUCCGCGCCUGGAUAUGGAUGGAGCGGAUCAAUAAGCUACUAUUCAUGGAGCGGAACCUGUGUAAGCACCGUCAUGGAUUUGGUGCUCGGGGGGUGGUGUAAUGUAUUUCGUAUUUCCUUCCCCCCUUGUUCUUCUUCUUAUCGUCUUGUAUUUUCUUUUAUCUAUAUAUAUAUUUAUUAAAGUACAGUGUUUUACCUAGUAUAAAUAGUCCUGUAUUUAUUUUAUUUAUCAGAGUAGGUUUUUGUAUUAUAAAGAAUAUAGAUGUUCUGAUAAAUACCCGUUGUCUUAUUACUCCACGCCUUUCCUUCUCCUCACUUCUCUCGGUCGUCCUGGAUCUCUCCACCUAUAAAUAGUUUGUGUCUCCUCUCUCUCGUCAAGACACAACAAUUCGCCAAUACUAUUUUUUACUAUUACACGCCUUAAAGGUACGUAAACGGAGUAGUUACUUCCCCCUAAAGCCACGGAACCCCCGAUUAAAUGUGGCAUCCCGUGUAGCAUAUAACGCUAUGACUAGUAUAUAUUUUCAUAUACUAAAACCACAUCCUUUACAAGAAAAAAUUAUAAGACUCUAAAACUGUGUCUAAAAAUAACAACACCGAUUUAAAAAAACGUCAUUAAAAUAACCAGUCUUCUUAAUGGCUUCAAUGUAGUGAAAAAUUUCCUUUUUAUUGGGACGAGUCUUCUAUCUUUCCAUCCUUAUACACUCCAAGGCAUCACACUCUACCCAUAAAUGAAUUGGUGUCUCAGUUACAUCUCCACACAAUCUUCAUGAUGCAUCUUCCCCCCUUCCCAUUACUUUUAGAUGCAUCCUUAAGGGAAUACGCCCUGUAUUGAAGCCAACUAUAAUAUAAAUAGAUGCUCUCCUGUUUUAAAAAUUUUUCAUUCCGAAGUAGGGCCCUCCAAAAUAAUUUUGUAUGUCGGCACGUUGUGUCUUCUAUCCAUUCCCGUUUCCAUGUUUUCCUUAUAUACUUAUCUAUCUCAGACAAAACUGCACUUUUGGGAACUUCCACUUCCGAUUCUUCUUGAAUAGUUCCGCCAUUCUUGGCAGGCACAUCUGUAUAUUCAUUUCCUGUAUAAUCCCAAUGACCUUCUAUUUCAUGUCAUAGUCACAUUCCUUUUCAACCACUUUAUUUCUUCUAUCACCCUAACUUGUUGACCAGUGAAGAAGCCUCUAUUUUUACAUAUAGAACUAAUAGCAGCUGAACUGUCCAGGAAAAUUUUGAUAGUCAUUUGAAUGAACUUUUCUAUACUAUUGAGAGCAUGUAAUAGGCAAUACUUAUGAAUUACAAUAUAUUGUUCAUAAUGGUAACGUGUAGUCCAGUGUCUUACAAUAAUAGGUCAACUUUGAAUAAAAAGUUUCCUGGCUUAUCGCCCAGGAAAAUGUUUAAUUUUCCAAAGGACAUCAAUGGUAGGAAGUUGAGGAUCAAUGCCAUCAAACACACGAAUUGGACUUCCAACAAAGACUCAAGAGUUAGCCAAGCUCACUUUGAAGAAUCAAUAUUUCUACUGAAGUCUUCAGAAGGACGGUGGUGUUUGGUACAUAAUGCAAUUCCUACUUUAUUUGAACAUGUUAAGAUAAAAAACAAACGAAAGCUUCUGUUUAACCGAAACAGAGACGCAGAAGAACUUCAAAGAAAGCAAAGAAUUCUAAUGUUAGAACAUCAACAUCACAUGGGACAUCAAAUAAGGAAGAUUAUCCUGAUCAUGAAGCUCAAACCCCAUUCUCAUCAGAUAUUUUUAUACAAGAAGCCCCUGAGAUUGAAGUUUUAGCAUAUGUACCAUGCUCUAAUUCUAUGAAUUUAGGAGCGGCAAAUAAAUCUUUAUCUGCAAAAAUAUAGCAUUUUCAAGCGAAAUUUUCCCGAAACAAGGCUUCAAUAAUGUCAACUAAAAAAAGACGUAAAAAGAUAUCGAAAAAGGUGGUAUCUGUAAAUGAUACAGUAGUAUAUUAAUUUUAUUGUUUUAUGCUCCGUUUUGUCGCAAAACCUAUAUUGAAGGAUUCUUGAAUGACGAUCAAUUAAGAUGUUCGUCAAGAAAGGAAAGAACUCCAGAAUCAAGUCCAACAGUUAAAAAAGCACUAAAAUUAAGGCAAACAAAUAAAUAGAAUGAAUGAAUUUACGAUUCUUUUAUGCCUUGUUUUGAAUCUAUGUCCUGUCUUAUGAAUUUGUAAUGGUUUAUUACACUUUUAAGAUUUGCUUGUGGUUCGUCAGUGUAUGAAUCUCUUCUAGAUCAAGGAUUUUCUUUACCUGUCUCGAAAGAGACGAACAGAGGAAGGAGAAAUGAGGAACAAUGUUCUGGCUAGCAAAAGUGCAAGCAUGCAUGAAAAUGUGCAACCCAUUUCUUCAUAAUUGCCCACAAUUAAUUAUAUGUAUACUUUAUAUUAAUUUAAAAAAAUUAAAUUCUUUACCAAAGAUAAUAAAAAAAAUAUUAACAACUA
rnacentral:lncRNA from 1 species